GACGAACGCUGGCGGCGUGCUUAACACAUGCAAGUCGAACGGAAAGGCCCUGCUUUUGUGGGGUGCUCGAGUGGCGAACGGGUGAGUAACACGUGAGUAACCUGCCCUUGACUUUGGGAUAACUUCAGGAAACUGGGGCUAAUACCGGAUAGGAGCUCCUGCUGCAUGGUGGGGGUUGGAAAGUUUCGGCGGUUGGGGAUGGACUCGCGGCUUAUCAGCUUGUUGGUGGGGUAGUGGCUUACCAAGGCUUUGACGGGUAGCCGGCCUGAGAGGGUGACCGGCCACAUUGGGACUGAGGUACGGCCCAGACUCCUACGGGAGGCAGCAGUGGGGAAUAUUGCACAAGGGGCGGAAGCGUGAUGGAGCAACGCCGCGUGCGGGAUGACGGCCUUCGGGUUGUAAACCGCUUUCGCCUGUGACGAAGCGUGAGUGGCGGUAAUGGGUAAAGAAGCACCGGCUACCUACGU
rnacentral:rRNA from 1 species